rnacentral:sRNA from 1 species
GGUUAAAGCGCCCAACCGGGCAAAUUCGUAGGUUCGAUUCCUGCUGGAUGCG